UACGUAGGUGGCAAGCGUUGUCCGGAAUUAUUGGGCGUAAAGCGCGCGCAGGCGGUCCUUUAAGUCUGAUGUGAAAGCCCACGGCUCAACCGUGGAGGGUCAUUGGAAACUGGGGGACUUGAGUGCAGAAGAGGAAAGCGGAAUUCCACGUGUAGCGGUGAAAUGCGUAGAGAUGCGGAGGAACACCAGUGGCGAAAGCGACUUCCGUGGUCCUUAACUGACGCUGAGGCGCGAAAGCAUGGGGAGCGAACGGG
rnacentral:rRNA from 1 species